rnacentral:rRNA from 1 species
GACGAACGCUGGCGGCGUGCUUAACACAUGCAAGUCGAACGGAAAGGCCCUGCUUUUGUGGGGUGCUCGAGUGGCGAACGGGUGAGUAACACGUGAGUAACCUGCCCUUGACUUUGGGAUAACUUCAGGAAACUGGGGCUAAUACCGGAUAGGAGCUCCUGCUGCAUGGUGGGGGUUGGAAAGUUUCGGCGGUUGGGGCUGGACUCGCGGCUUAUCAGCUUGUUGGUGGGGUAGUGGCUUACCAAGGCUUUGACGGGUAGCCGGCCUGAGAGGGUGACCGACCACAUUGGGACUGAGAUACGGCCCAGACUCCUACGGGAGGCAGCAGUGGGGAAUAUUGCACAAUGGGCGGAAGCCUGAUGCAGCAACGCCGCGUGCGGGAUGACGGCCUUCGGGUUAUAAACCGCUUUCGCCUGUGACGAAGCGUGAGUGACGGUAAUGGGUAAAGAAGCACCGGCUAACUACGUG